GUCACAAGCAUCAAAGCAAAUGUGAUUAGGGUAUCAGUGGAUUUUAAAUUGCCCCAAUCUAGGCAGAUAAUCUAUGGGUCUCACCUCCUCAGAAGAGACAAACCAGAUGACACAGAACACCACAUCGCGGGUCAGAGACCCUGCAUAGCUACGCGCCUAACAUUUCUCUUUACCAUGUCCUCUUUAAGUUUGAAUGCAAUCUUUAGGUAGGCCAGUCCUUGUCAUAAAUUAGUCUGACCCCCCCCCCCCUUCCCUUCACUCCUACACCUCAACUCGGCAUCAUCCAAUCAGGGCAAACAUCCUCAAGCCAUGCUAGGUAAGGUAUUUAAGAGAAAAAGCUGUGAUUUGCGUUUGGUUUCUGAGCCUGGAAGUAGAAGUUUACAUCUUUUUAUUUUGGUGGCGGUUCCUUGGUUGUGUGUGUUUUUAGCUUGUUUCCUUUCAUCCUGUGGCACUUAUACUGGAAGUGGGUGAUACUUUGGCAAGACAGGUGCAUUAUGGGACACACACGUUUCCUCUGCAUUCUCCUGCUGGCUCUCAGCCUGGCGUCUGUCUCAGGCCACCCUGAGGACACUCUGGAAGAAAUAAAUGAUCUUGUGGGCAAUGAUUUUGGCCACAAUUUCCCACGGCAUGGGUUGAACCUCCUGUACUGGUUCUCCAGUGAGUACAUCACGUUUGAUAACAACGACAACAUGCAACCGGCAACGGACCCCGAACAAGGUGCGUAUGGAUUUCAUAAGUAUCAAAACAGAGAGGACCUCCUCCCUUCAUUGUGCAACCAGAUUGGGUACGAAUACUACACUGUGGGCAACCUGCUCAAGAACGAAAACUUACCACAGGGCGAAAGGCUGCCAGAUUACGUCUUGGAGGAGUUCAGACAGUCCAUGACACUGAAUUCCCGCAAUCAGAACAACAAGGACCGGAUCAUCGUCAGAAGGACGCCGGGCGGCGCUAUCGACCGCGUCUACAUCACACAGCACUACGACAUCAACAGCGACCGUGGAAGCGAGUACGACCUGAACAACACUUACCGCAUCAGCAAAGACCUCAUCAAGGCUGUACGCAACCUGAUGCGUGAGAGGUUUCUCCAGCAUUUCGCCUAGAGGACCUGGAGCCCCUACAGCUCGUCUCAUCCGCACAUAUGCUUAGGCAGGUGGCCAUGAAGCACUGAGGAAUUUGAUUUGAUUUAUUUGCACUUAUCAUAUAAAAAUUACAAAAUAGAACAAAUACACUUACUUAAAACAAUACAAAGAGGACUAGUGAGAUGUUAAAAUGAGAAACAAUUUGCAAGGUACUGAGUGCGAGGCUUAUCCAUUAAGCCAGCAAUAGCUGGCUCAUUUUCAAUGGGGUCCUAGACUGGACUAUUGACAUAACUAAAUAUACAACAAAUAUACAAAUCUGGAUCUCUACAUUUAAAAAUGUCUACAGUACAAAGGCACGCACGCGCGCGCACACAUACACAGGGCAUCAACAACCACAGACAACAGUGGUAUUCUCACUUCCUUCUGGUCGAGAGAAUGUCACGCACAUCUGUGUUGCCGCUUCUCGCCGCUGCUUCUUCUCCUUCGGCGUCCAAGCUCUGUGUGUUUCCUGGUUCUGCCUUUCAUUGUUGGCAAUUGCUAGCUAAUAUACCGUCUAUAUUUUUGCUGUACAAUGCAAAUACAUCUUUUAUACUACUAUUUCCCUAGCCUUCCCCCUCUGUCCAUCACACCCCCUCCUACCACCACUGCACCACUGGUCCCAUUGCAUUUUCUCUAUUGUAUGUGUUUUUAUUGUAUCUUUGUUUCUUUGUCUUUUUUUUGUGAUAAUUAUGCUUGUAUUCCCUGUGUUGUAAAGGGUCUUUGAGACUGUGAAAAGAGCUAUAUAAAAUAAAUUUAUUAUUAUUAUUAUUAUUAUUAUUAUUAUUAUUAUUAAGGGUCACUGGGCAAGAAGAAAGCGCUUUAAAUGAUAUUUAAAUACAUUCAGAGAACUAGCCGAUUUGAUUGAGUCAGGAAGAGCAUUCCAAUCUCGGAUUCCAGUAAAAUAAAAUGAGGUUGAUGCGAUGCCUUUAAUCUUGGGAACAGCAUAAUUGAAUAGACUAUGCCUAGUGAAGUAACUAUGAACAGAAAUAAUUGUGUUACUGUUUUUAAAUCAAAAUUAAAGAUGAAUGAAUUGCAUAAUAAAAGCACAAACACUGAAAACAA